rnacentral:rRNA from 1 species
UACGUAGGGUGCAAGCGUUAUCCGGAAUUAUUGGGCGUAAAGAGCUCGUAGGCGGUUUGUCGCGUCUGCUGUGAAAACUGGAGGCUCAACCUCCAGCCUGCAGUGGGUACGGGCAAACUAGAGUGCGGUAGGGGAGAUUGGAAUCCUGGUGUAGCGGUGGAAUGCGCAGAUAUCAGGAGGAACACCUAUAGCGAAGGCAGCUCGCUGGGACGACACUGACGCUGAGACGCGAAAGCGUGGGGAGCGAACAGG